ACUUUUGAAGUAAAAUAAGUAACUCAGUAAUACUAGACAAGGGAUCUGAAAUAUAAAGAAGUGUAUCAUCAGCAUAUAAAGAAACUUUAUGUUCAGUGCCAAACCGAUUGAUACCUAUAAUUUCUGGGCUAUUCUGCAAAGCCACUGCGAGUGGUUCAAUUGCGAUUGCGAAUAAGAGUGGUGAGAGUGGGCACCCCCUCCUCAUACCACAUUUCAAUUCAACAUAACUGGAUAGAUUACUGUUAGUGCGUACUGUUGCCAUUGUCAAGGUAUACAUCAUCUUCACCCAUGAAACAAAUUUAGGGCUGAAAUUAAACAUCUCCAAGGUCUUAAAGCAACAGUUCCACUCCACCCGGUCAAACGCUUUCUCAUCAACGUUAAAAUCUUAUCACAGAUGUGACCAGGCGGGGCGGAAGUAUACAACACAUUGAACAAUUACCUGACAUCAAAGAAGGAUUUACGAUUUUUAACAAAACCCGUCUGGUCAGGUGAGACAAUUGUGGGGAUAAUCUGUUCGACUAGAUUCGCCAACAAUUUUUGCAUCAGUUUUUAGAAGCGAUAUCAGCGAUAUGAACUGCAGCUCAAAGGGUCUUUAUCCUUCUUUAAAAGCAAGGAAAAUACAGCCGGAUGCAUAAAUCUUUUCUCACCUUUAAUGAAAGAAAGUAGAUAUCUAAAAGGCAGAUAGUGGGUAUUUUUAAUCUUCUCACUUUUAACAAAAGAAAGUAGCUAUCUAAAAGGCAGAUAGUGGGUAUUUUUAAUCUUUUUUCACAUUUAACAAAAGAAAGUAGCUUCCUCAAGUUAAAGGGGGAAGCUUGAGUGUAAAUCAAUUGAAGCAUGUGUAAACACAGCUUGAAGGAAAAAUGGAUAUA